UGCAGCCGAGCGGUAGGUUUCCUUCCGGGAGACUGAGAGCGGCGCACGGGUGCGGAACACGUGUGCAACCUGCCUUUAUCAGGGGGAUAGCCUUUCGAAAGGAAGAUUAAUACCCCAUAAUAUAAUGAGUGGCAUCACUUAUUAUUGAAAACUCCGGUGGAUAGAGAUGGGCACGCGCAAGAUUAGAUAGUUGGUAGGGUAACGGCCUACCAAGUCAGUGAUCUUUAGGGGGCCUGAGAGGGUGAUCCCCCACACUGGUACUGAGACACGGACCAGACUCCUACGGGAGGCAGCAGUGAGGAAUAUUGGACAAUGGGUGAGAGCCUGAUCCAGCCAUCCCGCGUGAAGGACGACGGCCCUAUGGGUUGUAAACUUCUUUUGUAUAGGGAUAAACCAUUCUACGUGUAGAAUGCUGAAGGUACUAUACGAAUAAGCACCGGCUAACUCCGUGCCAGCAGCCGCGGUAAUACGGAGGGUGCAAGCGUUAUCCGGAUUUAUUGGGUUUAAAGGGUCCGUAGGCGGAUCUGUAAGUCAGUGGUGAAAUCUCAUAGCUCAACUAUGAAAACUGCCAUUGAUACUGCAGGUCUUGAGUAAAGGUAA
rnacentral:rRNA from 1 species